rnacentral:lncRNA from 1 species
CUGCUUGCAAGCCCUAAGGCAAAUUUUCCAGUAGUCAAAAAAAGACCACAACUUUAGCUCCCAAUUAUUCCCAAAAAAAAUAAAAUAAAGAAGCACUACCAGUUUUCAUGGAUCCAAAAGCUUCCACCAUUAGUACCCCGAGUUAACAUUUAAUAUGCAGGCUGUGUAUAUAAAUAUUCUCAUAAAACUUAAUUAUAACCGGGUGAAUACAACAAAAGCUCAUAAUCCUUCUCACAACAAAUUCAAAACGAGAAUUGCCAAAUAAACCCUAGUAAUUCACAUAGAAUUGGAGAAGAUGAGAGGGACCUGAUUCUUGAAGAUAACGGUAAACGAGGUAAUUCAAUUCGACAGAAGUGAUAGACGUCAUCUUCCCGGAAUUUAGCGAACGAAAGCAGAAGAGAGAUGCUAAAGAAUCAUGUAGUUCAAUUAGCUUUGAAUUUUACAGAGAAAUAUGGAGAAUGGAGUUCACCGGUAACGAUUCUCCCAAAUCGGCGUCACCUUCUCAAAUUUUAAAUACUUAGCAGGGUACGUUGCCAAUCGCGUGGGGCUACAAAUAUGG